CGUCGUUGGAAUUUCUACCCCGAGAACGCGAGGGUUUCCUCCGCGGCCGCCGCCGCCGCGACCCCAUAUCCCGCCACUCCAUGGCCCCAGUCCUCGCUCCGCAGCCGCCAAAUCCGGACGAGUUCGUCGCCCUUUGCGCCGCCACCCCGGCAGCCCCUCUCGUCGGCGACUACCACGGGUGCGCCUCCCUCUCCCUCGAGACUCCAUCUCGACCUCGAGGCUCCAGCGCGACGCCACCUCCUGCCGACCGCGACUCCCUCCAGCGCUGCCAACGUCGCCCUUUGCGUCGCCACCCCGGCAGCCCCUCUCGCCGACGACCACCACGGGGGCGCCUCCCUCUCCCUGGAGGCUCCAUCUCCCCAGCGGCCUUCCCUCCUUUGCCCCGAGUCCAGGACCACCAGUUUGGUCAAAUUCCCUGUAGCCGCCGGUCAUGAUCGGCCGCACCGCCGCCCCUGGUCGACGCUAACGCCGCGGCGGACAGCGGGCUGCUGUGAUGAUGCACCGGGGUGUAGCGCAGCUCGGAGGCCUGGCUGCUGUGGUGGUGUUGGUCGUGGUGGACGGGGAACCGGCGGCAGGGAAGCCCUGACUUCUGUAUGCAAUGCCGACCUUAAUGACAGAUGUUUCUGUGUUUGUUCUGGUGCCGUGGCUGCUUUGAUGCAUCAAAUCCCUCUGCUUCCCGGCGCCUCUCCAUCUCUUCCAGAUUGAUUUACAACUGGGACCGUCCCUAACAAAGUCUGCACAUCGAUCUGCUGUAACAUUGGCUGGGUUUUCUCUCCUCGACUCUACUAACACUCUGGAGUUACAAGCAAUUACAUCAGGUAGAUAUAUCUAUGUUUUACAACUGGGACUGUCCCUAACAAAGUCUGCACAUCGAUCUGCUGUAACAUUGGCUGGGUUUUCUCUCCUCGACUCCACUAACACUCUGGAGUUACAAGUAGAUAUAUCUAUGUUCUUUUUUUGCUUUGAGCUGCAUUGAUUUUAUUUGUAAACGGGGAGAGGCAGGUGAGCUGCCAGCACAUCUUGGCCACCACUGAUUUACGGACAAGACGAAUAGAUAUGCAGACUAAGCUCCAGGGAUUUCGGUAGUACAUGCCAUGUUUAUCCUCACUGCUGAAUAAUCUAUAUAUAACUAUUUUUGCAAUACUUGGACCACAGGAGCAAUUCGUUCUUUAUAUUUUGCUCGGGAUUGUGCCUUUCAUAAUAGAAGGGUAAGAUGUAUCGCAAUAUCUUUGACUUGCAUUCUCUGUGAUGUGAAGUAAGAAAAUAGAAUAUAUAAUAUUAAAUUAUAUUUUUCCUUUUUUUAAUGUCCCUAUCUUACUCAUAUAAUCCAAUUGGCAUUCACUAGAGUUUCUGUUGAUGAAACAUUUGUUUUGUGAUGUCAGGAGGUUUUCUUUGUGACUUUUCAAUCAAUAUUUGUAGAUACGGUUCGUAGAUCAUGAUAUCUGCACAAUCUCUAUCUACGUCCUGUGAUUAUAUAUUGUAUUAAUGGGUUGUGUCAGGCUUAUUUUAUCAACUGCUUGGUUGUUGACCUACAUUACGGUUUAAUUCUUACAGCAGUUUAUGUUGACUCGAUUCCCUGUAGUAGGUUGAGAGGCUUCUCCUCUCAUGAUUUACUCUGAUCAGUUUGCUUUGCUCCAUGCUCCUCAUGAUUUCUUUGAAUUUUUCUGUAGGAGCUCAAUCAAAAAUCACCUAAGCAAAUAUGUCGUCCUUCUCUACAAGGGUUGGAUGUGGAAUUUGAGGAGAAUCUGUGCACCAGCAUUGGACUCCUUGAUGUUGCUUUGAUCAUAUUGUGUAAAUAUAUUUCUAAUAAAGCAAUUGCUCGAUGGUGUACAUGUUAGAAAUAACAAGAUGUAAUCAUCAAGUGUGAGAGAUGGCAACAUCAGGAUGGGAUGGUAUGUACUGUUGUGCUCAUCAAUAGGUUAGUCUUUCAUUCUGUUGCAGCCAGUAUGUUUUUUCUUAUGGAAACAAUCAAGAAAUAUCUAAUUUCUAUGUACAUCCAAAUAUAUAUAAGUGGCUAUUAUUAACAUGGAGUUUAGAUUUGUUAACGGUCACUGCGUUUGGUCUAUCCCGAGCCUCUGAUUGUGAUUCGUGUUCUUUUGAUAUGCACUUGCCAUGAUAUUGUGGCUGGACUUCUGGUAUGUGUUACCUCUAAUAAAUGUUGCAGAGCUCCCUCUCCUCUGCUUGAUUUUCCUUUUUUGGAUUUUCAUCAGCUUGCUUCGUUCUUCGGUCGACGGCAUCACAGUACCCCUGUCUAUGUGGACAAUGCCUAAUAUACUUCCACUGGAUGGCGACCAGGCCAGGAAGGGAGUGGACUUGUGCUGCUCACGGCUUUGCUCCUCUAUUCCCUCCUUUUCCUUUGAUGUUUCGAAACAUCUUGGAGUAGUGGAUGGAUCAGAUAUGGCCCAGUAGCACUGGUGGUUUUACUGUGCAGGAACAGUUCAACAUGUAGUUCUUGAUGGGAUUUAGUAAUUUUGGGUUGUUGAGCAAGAUCGUGGAAGCUAAUGCUGCUGAUUCAUGUGCAAUUAUUAUCCUUUUUUUUCUUUCUUAGAUUUUUGAGGUUUUUCUUAGAUGUUUUUUUAGAUAAGAUGUCUAGAGAUUUCAACUUGGUCAAUUCAUAUGCUUAACUAAUAUUUUAGAUAACGGAAGAUUGCUCCUGCGGCUGUUGCAUCGUUCCAUAUUUUAUAUUGCCUGAACAUGUUUUUUCUUUUGCCUGAUCCUACUUUGUUAAACAUCUUUUCCCAGUUAAGUGGCUCGGCUUUGCUAUUGUUUCUCUUGGUUUCACUCUGCAUAUCAAAAUCUCUUUUACGUACUAUGCAUUUAUGCUCUAUCUGCACUGUAAUUCAACAUGUCUUCCUUCCGGCUACAGCUAAUACCUCUGUCUCAAGCGUAUAUUAUUGAAGUAAUGCUUUUUGAUUGAUUAUAUAAUUGUAUAUUGUUCUUUCACUAUCUCAUAGGAAAUCAGAAGACCACUUUUGGAUAAGUUGGAUGGUAGGUCUUUCUCUGGAACUGUUUAUCAUCUGCAAAAAAAUUUGGCUGAUCAGAGCUCAGAAGCAAUGGUGUGCCUCACAACAUUUGGAUUUGAAAUUCUUAGAUUGUUUGCUAUGAGGAACAUGAAGCAGCAAAGAUAAUGAGUGACGGUGGUGGCUGGACGUCCCCGCCAUGAAGAUGAGCGGAAGGAGCAAGAGCACAUCUGAAGAUGGGGAGGGGUGGAGGUGGCGGUUCUGAAUUUGAAGACGGUGCCGUGAGGAGUAGCAGGAGGAGCAGCCGCCGACGGCCUGGCUGCAUGUGUUAUCUUCAAUCUUCGGUGUAUGGAUCAACACAGAACUAUAAGGUUUUGCGAGGAAUCAAGGCUUGUUUUCUCUGUAUCAUGAUAAGGUCAAGCAAAUGACAUACCAGAUCAAUUUUAUUGUAGGUCCUGAAUAUAAAUCUACUAACAAAUUCUGCGAUUCUUUGCUUCCAAAAGAUUAACCUAAACUUGCAAUUCCUCUACUACUGCCCAUUGCCCAGUACAGGUCCAAGAGAACAAUAUUUGCAUUCUGAAUGUCUGCCUGCACACAACCAGGUUCUCUAGAUGAGUGUGUGUACAACACUACAACCUGCAAAAUAGAUUUUCCACGUGUUUGUUGUCAAUAUUUGCGGUACAAUUUGAAAUUCAUAAUGCACCAAAGUUAUUGUGGUGUGAUGAUCUGAUUUAAAGCUUUUAAGUAAUGGAUUAUACAAAUCAGCAUGUGAAUUUGUACUCAAGAUCGUGAUUCAUCCCGAGGGAUGCAUCAUUUAUAGUUGAACAAUAUUAUCAGCUAUUUCGCUUUUCUGAGUAUAGCACAAGCCUAAGUAAAUAUGGGUCGAGGUAACCAAA